rnacentral:rRNA from 1 species
UACGUAGGGACCAAGCGUUGUUCGGAUUUACUGGGCGUAAAGAGCUCGUAGGCGGUUUGUCGCGUCGUCUGUGAAAACUCGAGGCUCAACCUCGAGCUUGCAGGCGAUACGGGCAGACUUGAGUACUGCAGGGGAGACUGGAAUUCCUGGUGUAGCGGUGAAAUGCGCAGAUAUCAGGAGGAACACCGGUGGCGAAGGCGGGUCUCUGGGCAGUAACUGACGCUGAGGAGCGAAAGCGUGGGUAGCGAACAGG